rnacentral:rRNA from 1 species
GAUGAACGCUGGCGGCGUGCCUAACACAUGCAAGUCGUACGAGCUCGAUCUUCGGAACGGGUUAGUGGCGCACGGGUGAGUAACACGUAGGUGACCUACCCCAGAGUGGGGGAUAACUUCUCGAAAGAGAGGCUAAUACCGCAUACACUCGGUCAUUCAUUUGGCCGAGCAAAGCUCCGGCGCUUUGGGACGGGCCUGCGUCCGAUUAGCUAGUUGGUAGGGUAAUGGCUUACCAAGGCUUUGAUCGGUAGCUGGUCUGAGAGGACGAUCAGCCACACUGGCACUGACACACGGGCCAGACUCCUACGGGAGGCAGCAGUGAGGAAUAUUGGGCAAUGGGCAAAGCCUGACCCAGCAACGCCGCGUGAGGGAUGAAGGCCUUCGGGUUGUAAACCUCUUUUCUGGGAGAAGAGACAAGGACGGUAUCCCAGGAAUAAGUCUCGGCUAACUACGUGCCAGCAGCCGCGGUAAU